rnacentral:rRNA from 1 species
UAGCAUAUCAAUAAGCGGAGGAAAAGAAACCAACCGGGAUUGCCUCAGUAACGGCGAGUGAAGCGGCAAGAGCUCAAAUUUGAAAGCUGGCUCCUUCGGGGUCCGCAUUGUAAUUUGCAGAGGAUGCUUCGGGUGCAGCCCCCGUCUAAGUGCCCUGGAACGGGCCGUCAUAGAGGGUGAGAAUCCCGUAUGGGGCGGGGUGUCUGCGUCCGUGUGAAGCUCCUUCGACGAGUCGAGUUGUUUGGGAAUGCAGCUCUAAAUGGGUGGUAAAUUUCAUCUAAAGCUAAAUACUGGCCGGAGACCGAUAGCGCACAAGUAGAGUGAUCGAAAGAUGAAAAGCACUUUGAAAAGAGAGUUAAACAGCACGUGAAAUUGUUGAAAGGGAAGCGCUUGCAACCAGACUCGCUCGCGGGGUUCAGCCGGGCUUCGGCCCGGUGUACUUCCCCGCGGGCGGGCCAGCGUCGGUUUGGGCGGCCGGUCAAAGGCCUCCGGAAUGUAGCGCCCUUCGGGGCGCCUUAUAGCCGGGGGUGCAAUGCGGCCAGCCUGGACCGAGGAACGCGCUUCGGCACGGACGCUGGCAUAAUGGUUGUAAACGACCCGUCUUGAAACACGGACCAAGGAGUCUAACAUCUACGCGAGUGUUCGGGUGUCAAACCCGUACGCGCAGUGAAAGCGAACGGAGGUGGGAGCCCCCUCGCGGGGCGCACCAUCGACCGAUCCUGAUGUCUUCGGAUGGAUUUGAGUACGAGCGUAGCUGUGGGGACCCGAAAGAUGGUGAACUAUGCCUGAAUAGGGCGAAGCCAGAGGAAACUCUGGUGGAGGCUCGCAGCGGUUCUGACGUGCAAAUCGAUCGUCAAAUUUGGGUAUAGGGGCGAAAGACUAAUCGAACCAUCUGGUAGCUGGUUCCUGCCAA